GCUAGGGCAGUGAUGGAUGCCGCGUCUUGGGGUUUCGCGACCCUUCCACUCCGCCCAUUGAUCGGAGCUCCAGGUAGGCUGCUUCGCCUCUCUCCACCCUCGCAAGGUAAGUUCGUUUAGGUAGGGCUUUUCUUUGCGUUAGGAGUAAGACAGAUUUGGAAAGCGAAGCUGCUUGCAAUGAGCUAAGAGGUAUGCUUGUUGAAACUCUCAACGCUUGAAGACACCUCUUUUCGAUUGCAACGCAAAAGGGAGCCAGUGACACAACAAACAACUCAAACAAGCAAAGUGCAAGACAACGGGCCAAGGAACUCUCAACGCGAAGGGAGCUGUUUGAAUAUGAACAAAACUAAUGAUCAACGAUACUUAGUUUGACGUUGCCAGGUUCGCGUGUGUUUCGAUUUGUUCUAAUUUCUUGUCAUGAAGAAGCCAAGUGACAUGCUGGUGCUGCUCAACGACGAUAAGAACUGAAAAACUCCCAUGUCACAGUGUGUGCCAAGAAGAAAAAUGCUACUAGAUUGGAGAGAUUUUGUGUCAACGUUUCGGAGCUUUGAGUUGUGUUGUUGCUGCGCUCAACGCAAGACCCGCGAGCUGAGAAACAACGUUGGGAAACUGCGAUCUUCAGAACUUAAAUCCAGCUGAAGUUCUACAUGACAAUGGUCCAACCUCAAUGAAAACAACGAUCAGGGCCGGUCAAGGAUCAGCGACGGAUCAAGUCCCACCUCGCAAGGUAAGUUCGUUUAGAGUAACAAGAGAGAUUUGCUGGAGACAAGAAAGCGAAGCUGCUUGCAACGAGCUAAGAAUUCGUGUUGAAACUCUCAACGUUUGAAGACGCUCUUUCUUUUCGAUGCUAUGCUCAAUGCACACAAUAUGAUAUGCUUGAUCAAACAACUCAAACAAGCUAAGUGCAAAACAACGGUCCAAGGAACUCUCAACACGAAGGGAAACUUGUUGUCAGAACUAAAAAACGCUGUGUCCAAGAAGAAAAAUGCUACGAGAUUGGAGAGAUUCCAUGUCAACAUUUUGUAGAGAUUGUCAGCGAUGUUGCUGCUGCUCAACGCAAGACCUGCGAGCUGAGAAACAACAUCGGGCAUCUGCAAUCUUCAAAACUUCAAUCCAGUUGAAGACGUACAUGACAAUGGUCCAACCUCAACGAAAACAACGAUCAUGAAAACACUGGCUGUCCAACGAUAUGGAAGUCGAAGUUUAACAGGUUCGUGAGCUGUUUGUUCUAACCAAAAUGUUUGUUGAAAUGUACAUGACAAUGGUCCAACCUCAAUGAAAACAACGAUCAUGAUCCGUCGCUGAUCCUUGACAGGCCCGGUCCACUCUCGCACCUCUCCACCUCGCAAGGUAAGUUCGUUCAGUUUUCUUUGUGUUAAGCGAGUAAGACAACGAAACAAGAGAGAUUUGCUGGAGACAAGAAAUAUGCUCUAGAAUGAUCAACGAUAAAAGAGAGGCUAGAAGCAAUCAAGAAUUUGUUGAAGCUCUCAACGUUUGAAGACGCUCUUUCUUUUCGAUUGAGAUUGUCGACGGGGUAUGCUCAACGCAAAAAGGAGCCAGUGACACAGUCAAGCUAAGAUGAUAUGCUCAAACAACUCAAACAAACUAAGCGCAAAACAACGGCCCAAGAAACUUUCAACGGGAAGGGAAACUUGUGAAUACGAACAAAAGUAACGAUCAUUGGAAGUUGACAUACUUAGCUUGAUGUUGUCAGGUUUGUGUGUGUUUCAAUUUGUUCUAAUUUCUUGUCAUGAAAAAGACAAGUGACAUGUUGGUGCUGCU